rnacentral:rRNA from 1 species
UACAGAGGGUGCAAGCGUUGCUCGGAAUUAUUGGGCGUAAAGGGUAGGUAGGUGGUCUCGUUUGUCUGGGGUGAAAGCCUUGAGCUUAACUCAAGAAGUGCCUCGGAAACGGCGAGACUAGAGUCUUGGAGAGGGUCGUGGAAUUCCUGGUGUAGCGGUGAAAUGCGUAGAGAUCGGGAGGAACACCAGCGGCGAAGGCGGCGACCUGGACAAGUACCGACACUCAACUACGAAAGCGUGGGGAGCAAACAGG